UCAUUAUUAUUCUACCUUUAUUUCUACAAGGAAAAUAGACUGAGACCAAGGUCUCUUUUACAGCUGGGCCCUGUGUAUACAUGUUUACACAUACAGUUUAGGUACAAUGAUUAAGAAACUACACAAGACAAACAAAACCAUCACAGAUAACACAAACAAAUACAGCAGCAGAUUGUUACACUUACACAUCGGUUAUUCCCCUAACAGGUUAUUCCCCUAACAGGUUAUUCCCCUAACAGGUUGUUCCCCUAACAGGUUAUUCCCCUAACAGGUUAUUCCCCUAACAGGUUGUUCCCCUAACAGGUUAUUCCCCUAACAGGUUGUUCCCCUAACAGGUUGUUCCCCUAACAGGUUAUUCCCCUAACAGGUUGUUCCCCUAACAGGUUAUUCCCCUAACAGGUUAUUCCCCUAACAGGUUGUUCCCCUAACAGGUUGUUCCCCUAACAGGUUAUUCCCCUAACAGGUUAUUCCCCUAACAGGUUAUUCCCCUAACAGGUUGUUCCCCUAACAGGUUGUUCCCCUAACAGGUUGUUCCCCUAACAGGUUGUUCCCCUAACAGGUUGUUCCCCUAACAGGUUGUUCCCCUAACAGGUUAUUCCCCUAACAGGUUAUUCCCCUAACAGUUUAUUCCCCUAACAGUUUAUUCCCCUAACAGGUUAUUCCCCUAACAGGUUGUUCCUCUAACAGGUUAUUCCCCUAACAGGUUGUUCCUCUAACAGGUUAUUCCUCUAACAGGUUGUUCCCCUAACAGGUUAUUCCUCUAACAGGUUGUUCCCCUAACAGGUUGUUCCCCUAACAGGUUGUUCCCCUAACAGGUUGUUCCCCUAACAGGUUAUUCCUCUAACAGGUUGUUCCCCUAACAGGUUAUUCCUCUAACAGGUUGUUCCCCUAACAGGUUGUUCCCCUAACAGGUUAUUCCUCUAACAGGUUAUUCCCCUAACAGGUUAUUCCCCUAACAGCACAAUAACUUGCAUUACCCAAAACUGUUACAAGCAAUACAAAAAUACAUAUCCUCCAAUAAAUAUUUAAAAUGGGCGACAGGGGGACAAGAGUCUCAAUAUUAAGUUUAGUCUGCAGACUAUUCCAUAGGCAAGGAGCGUAACAGGAAAAGGCAGCCAUACCCAACUCUGUGGAAAUCGCAUAGGCCUCAAGUGUAAUCCAUGCUUGAGACCUGGUUUUAGGAAUUCUAAUUAUAAUAUUGAUGAGUGAUGAUAAAUAAGAAGGUAGUUUAUUCAGAGGUGCUUUAUAGACAAACACGAGAGCAUGUUGUUCUCGUCUCACGGACAGCGAAGUCCAACCCACAUUUUGACAUCAAACACAGUGGUGAGUUCUGUAGCUAGCACCCGUAAUAAACAUAAGUGCGCAAUGAUAAGUAGCAUCCAGCGAUUUAAGUGUUGAUGCCAUAGCAUGCAUGUAGAUCAUAUCCCCAUAAUCUAUAACAGACAUAAAAGUAGCUUGCACAAUUUGUCUUCUAUUUGUAGAGAACAAACAUGUCCUGUCUCUAUAGAGGAAGCCUAGCUUGAUUUUUAGCCAUUUAUAAAGUUUGUCAAUUUGCAUUUUAAUAAACAGUUUAUCAUCCAACCAUGUCCCUAACUAUUUAUAUGCAGAGACUUGAUUCAUUCGAGGAUCAUCUAAGCUCGUAAGUGCAAGUGUAUUUUCAACCAAC